rnacentral:misc_RNA from 1 species
GAAAGCAGGGCUUGCAGCUUUAGGCUUAGGCUACGCCGGUGGCGAAGUAGUCGCCACCAUGGUGAAAGCAUUCCAGGAGCGUCGAGAUUUCUUGGUGAAAAGCUUACAAGAGAUGAAGGGUGUGAAGGUAUCAGAGCCUCAGGGUGCGUUCUAUCUGUUCAUCGAUUUCAGCUCUUUCUACGGAGCCGAGGCUGAAGGGUUUGGUGUUAUCAAUGACUCUGAAACUCUUUGCAGGUUUUUCUUAGACAAGGCACAGGUUGCAGUUAUUCCGGGAAGCGCAUUCGGGGAUGACAGGUGCGUUCGGAUCUCCUAUGCUGCAUCACUGUCCACAUUGCAGGAUGCGAUGAAGAAAUUAAAGGAAGCUUUGCUUCUCAUCAAGCGGACGGUUCAUGCCUAAUUACACAAAAUCUCGAUGGAUUGAUGUAUCAGUUGUAGUUGGAUAAAUAAAUCUAGGCAUUCAAGCUAUGUAGGGAUUGUUUUGGACAUUGC